rnacentral:rRNA from 1 species
GACGAACGCUGGCGGCGUGCUUAACACAUGCAAGUCGAACGGAAAGACCCUGCUUUUGUGGGGUGCUCGAGUGGCGAACGGGUGAGUAACACGUGAGUAACCUGCCCUUGACUUUGGGAUAACUUCAGGAAACUGGGGCUAAUACCGGAUAGGAGCUCCUGCUGCAUGGUGGGGGUUGGAAAGUUUCGGCGGUUGGGGAUGGACUCGCGGCUUAUCAGCUUGUUGGUGGGGUAGUGGCUUACCAAGGCUUUGACGGGUAGCCGGCCUGAGAGGGUGACCGGCCACAUUGGGACUGAGAUACGGCCCAGACUCCCACGGGAGGCAGCAGUGGGGAAUAUUGCACAAUGGGCGGAAGCCUGAUGCAGCAACGCCGCGUGCGGGAUGACGGCCUUCGGGUUGUAAACCGCUUUCACCUGUGACGAAGCGUGAGUGACGGUAAUGGGUAAAGAAGCACCGGCUAACUACGUG